rnacentral:rRNA from 1 species
UACAGAGGUCUCGAGCGUUAGGCGGAAUCACUGGGCUUAAAGCGUGUGUAGGUGGAUGCCUAAGUACCUUGUGAAAUCCCACGGCUUAACCGUGGAACUGCUUGGUAUACUGGGUGUCUUGAGUCACUCAGGGGCGAGCGGAACAAAUGGUGGAGCGGUGAAAUGCGUAGAUAUCAUUUGGAACGCCAAUGGUGAAAACAGCUCGCUGGGGGUGCACUGACACUGAGACACGGAAAGCCCAGGGGAGCGAAACGGG